GGCAUAGUAUUAUGAUCAACUAACGUCUUCUUGCAUAACAAAUCAGCAGCCUCUACUUGAUACACUGACUCCAUGUCUACGCCGAGAAAUAUACGAGAUGCACUAAGUGAUAUCACCAGUAUCGCAGAUGAGGCCCGGCGGACGAGGGAACGGAUUCGUCGAGCUGAGAUGUCUGACGAACAAAGGGAGGAGGUCAGGAGGAAACAACGUGAGUACCAACGUCAGUACCGAAAAAGGAAGAAGGCCAUGUCCCAAAGCAGUAGCGCUGACCCGAGUGCUAAUCUCUCAGAGAUGGACCAGAAUUCGCCCUAUUUAUUGGGCAAUGAAAAUAUCCGGCCAAGUGGU